rnacentral:misc_RNA from 2 species
AACGCACAUUGCGCCCGCCGGCACUCCGGCGGGCAUGCCUGUCCGAGCGUCAUUUCAACCCUCAGGCCCACCCUUCCGGGGGAGCGGGCCUGGUUCUGGGGAUCGGCGGCCCUCGCGGCCCCCGUCCCUCAAAUUCAGUGGCGGUCGCGCCGCAGCCUCCCCUGCGUAGUAGCACAACCUCGCACCGGAGAGCGGAACGACCACGCCGUAAAACACCCAAUUUUUUAAGGUUGACCUCGGAUCAGGUAGGAAUACCCGCUGAACUUAA